rnacentral:rRNA from 1 species
AGGAAUCUGCCUAUUAGUGGGGGGACAACAUCUCGNAAGGGAUGNUAAUANCGCAUACGUCCUNNGGGAGAAAGCAGGGGGAUCUUCGGACCUUGCGNUAAUAGAUGAGCCUAAGUCGGAUUAGCUAGUUGGUGGGGUAAAGGCCUACCAAGGCGACGAUCUGUAGCGGGUCUGAGAGGAUGAUCCGCCACACUGGGANUGAGACACGGCCCAGACUCCUACGGGAGGCANCAGUGGGGAAUAUUGGACAAUGGGGGGAACCCUGAUCCAGCCAUGCCGCGUGUGUGAAGAAGNCCUUAUGGUUGUAAAGCACUUUAAGCGAGGAGGAGGCUACUNUAGUUAAUACCUAGGGAUAGUGGACGUUACUCGCAGAAUAAGCACCGGCUAACUCUGUGCCAGCAGCCGCGGUAAUACAGAGGGUNCGAGCGUUAAUCGNAUUUACUGGGCGUAAAGCGUGCGUAGGCGGCUUAUUAANUCGGAUGUGAAAUCCCCGAGCUUAACUUGGGAAUUGCAUUCGAUACUGGUGAGCUAGAGUAUGGGAGAGGAUGGUAGAAUUCCAGGNGUAGCGGUGAAAUGNGUAGAGAUCUGGAGGAAUACCGAUGGNGAAGGCAGCCAUNUGNCCUAAUACUGNCGNUGAGGUACGAAAGCAUGGGGAGCAANCAGGAUUAGAUACCCUGGUAGUCCAUNCCGUAANCGAUGUCNACUAGCCGUUGGGGCCUUUGAGNCUUUAGUGGCGCAGCUAACGCGAUAAGNAGNCCGC